rnacentral:rRNA from 1 species
UACGUAGGGACCAAGCGUUGUUCGGAUUUACUGGGCGUAAAGGGCGCGUAGGCGGCAUGACAAGUCACUUGUGAAAUCUCCGGGCUUAACUCGGAACGGCCAAGUGAUACUGUCACGCUAGAGUGCAGAAAGGGCAAUCGGAAUUCUUGGUGUAGCGGUGAAAUGCGUAGAUAUCAAGAGGAACACUUGAGGCGAAGGCGGGUUGCUAGGCUGACACUGACGCUGAGUGCGCGAAAGCCAGGGGAGCAAACGGG